AUUACCCGCUGAACUUAAGCAUAUCAAUAAGCGGAGGAAAAGAAACCAACAGGGAUUACCUUAGUAACGGCGAGUGAAGCGUAAGAGCUCAAAUUUGAAAUCUAGCACUUUCAGUGUUCGAGUUGUAAUUUGAAGAAGGUAUCUUUGGAGUUGGCCCCCGUCUAUGUUCCUUGGAACAGGACGUCACAGAGGGUGAGAAUCCCGUGCGAUGGGGAGACCAAUUCUAUGUAAAGUUCCUUCGAAGAGUCGAGUUGUUUGGGAAUGCAGCUCUAAGUGGGUGGUAAAUUCCAUCUAAAGCUAAAUAUUGGCGAGAGACCGAUAGCGAACAAGUACAGUGAUGGAAAGAUGAAAAGAACUUUGAAAAGAGAGUG
rnacentral:rRNA from 1 species